CUUAUGCCGGCGACCGGCGGACGGGUGCGUAACGCGUAUGUAACCUACCUUUGACAGGGGGAGUAACAUCGAGAAAUUGGUACUAAUACCCCAUAACAUCACCGGAGGCAUCUUCGGUGGUUGAAAACUCAGGUGGUCAGAGAUGGACAUGCGUUGUAUUAGCUAGUUGGUGAGGUAACGGCUCACCAAGGCGACGAUACAUAGGGGGACUGAGAGGUCAACCCCCCCACAUUGGUACUGAGACACGGACCAAACUCCUACGGGAGGCAGCAG
rnacentral:rRNA from 1 species